UGCCUAGCAACUCCUAUCCCUACCUCCGCAUGGUAUUGACUAGAAACUACGAGCAACCUUUGGGAAGACCGGGUAACCAACUCCGAUGGGAACUUUGGUCGUAGGCUGACAGGGAAGG
rnacentral:ribozyme from 1 species